rnacentral:tRNA from 1 species
GCCCUGGUGGCUCAGUGGUUAAGAGCUUGGCUGCUAACCAAAAGAUCUGCAGUUCCAAUCUGCCAGGCGCU